rnacentral:rRNA from 1 species
GACGAACGCUGGCGGCGUGCUUAACACAUGCAAGUCGAACGGAAAGGCCCAGCUUGCUGGGUGCUCGAGUGGCGAACGGGUGAGUAACACGUGGGUGAUCUGCCUCUAACUUCGGGAUAAGCUUGGGAAACUGGGUCUAAUACCGGAUAGGACAAUCGUUUAGUGUCGGUUGUGGAAAGUUUUUUCGGUUAGGGAUGAGCCCGCGGCCUAUCAGCUUGUUGGUGGGGUAAUGGCCUACCAAGGCGUCGACGGGUAGCCGGCCUGAGAGGGUGGACGGCCACAUUGGGACUGAGAUACGGCCCAGACUCCUACGGGAGGCAGCAGCGGGGAAUAUUGCACAAUGGGCGCAAGCCUGAUGCAGCGACGCCGCGUGGGGGAUGACGGCCUUCGGGUUGUAAACCUCUUUCGACAGGGACGAAGCUUUGGUGACGGUACCUGUAUAAGAAGCACCGGCUAACUACGUG